CCAGGCAGCUAAAAGUAAAAUAAAACAAGAGUACAUAUAAAAUAAACAGGACAUAAUACAGAGUAAAACACUAAGCUAAUUGAAGCUAAAACUAUACUUCACAUAAAAGCAAGUCUAUAAAAGUGAGUGAUUUAAAAGAAGUUACUGACUCUGCAAGCUUUAUCUCCUCAGGCAGGUUGUUCCAAAGUUAUUAGAUUCUCCAUAUGAAAUGUGACUGAUUUGUGAAAUACACUAAAUUAUUGUAGUUUUAACAGCACAGUCACUAGAAUCCAGACAUCAUUAGCAAAGGACAUUUUUCCGGAUAAUGAUGCUUGAAGUGCAGUUUGCUAAUAAAGCUCAUUUGGAAUGUUAAUUAUAUUGUGUCAUUAUUUUCAAUGCAGUAAAUGAUCUGAAUGCUUUUAUGAAUAAUUUAGCACGAGCGACACGAUGGACAGGGACAGUGUGAUAGAAUUUUACAUGGCAUUGCAAGGAACCAUCAUUACUGAGAGACAUUUAAACAGGAUAUUGAGAGUAGGGUUGCCUCCCGUCCCUUAAAAUACGGAAACGUCCUUUAUUUGACAAUUAAUCGUUGCGUCCCGUAUUGAAUCAAUACGGGACGCAAGUUGUUCCGUAUUUUCAUAACUGCCCCAUACACGUCUGUCACACACUCAUCAAAACUGCAUAAUGAAUAAAAUAAAACACAGGCAAUAUUAAGGGCAGCCAAUUUCAUCUUCGUAGGACCCAUGUAGCGAGGACCCGAUGCCAGGUCCAGUGGACAGACUUCAGACGUCUCUGUGUGUCCGGUCCUGUCCGGUCCUGUCUCUGGUUGCCAGGUUACAGACGCUGCUGCACCCGCACGUUUAAAAAUGUCUACACCUGAAACUCCACCACGUCUAAAGAAGCAAAAACGUUUGCAAAUGUACAGACUGGAGUGGGAAGAGUGGAACCCCUGGCAAUGGGUACAAGACAAACUGUGUUUUCUGUUGCUCAUGGACUGGCUGAAGUAAGGCAGCAUCAGGAGACAAACAUGGAGGAAAUAUGAGAACAGAGAGAACCCAACCAGCAGGUCACAGUUUAUCAUCAUCUAAUCAUCUCCUGAAGUCGAAAUGGUCCCUCUCUAUCUCCCCACACAUCCACCAACCACUGGAACACAUCUCCAAAGUUCUGCCAGGCCAGCUCAGCUUCCCCUCAGAAGAAGUGCUGCCACCUGCCAGAUGAAGGAGCCUUUUGAGAGGCAGCAGACAUCGUGAUUGGACUGUACUUUGGUCUGUUCCAAUCCAGCUUCAGCUCCAGAGACGGCAGGCGGGACGAGUCAACGGAGGCCGGGUGGACGAAGGCAUGCAGCUGAGUACAAUACAGAAAACAACAGAGGAGGAGUGCAGUGGCUCAGGGCCAGAACAAACACAGUAGCAUCGUAUGUCUCUUAGAAAACAUCAUAGUAUAGCCUUUGGUAUGAAAAAACGCCAUCAUAUACAUCGUAUAUUGUACAAAUAACAAGUCAAAGGAAAGAGACAUACAUUGUAGAAUUGUAGUAAUUGUGGGCCGAAUGAUUUACUGAUUAUCAGUAUUUGAUUUUUUACUGAUUUACGGGAAUAAAUAAAUUUUAAAAUGGC